GAACGCGUAGUUCAGUGGUGGAACGCCUGGCUCUCACCCAGGUCGUCGCCGGUUCGAGCCCGGUCGCGUUCG
rnacentral:tRNA from 1 species